rnacentral:ncRNA from 1 species
AUUGAAAAAGGCAAACUGGCCGUGAGGUCAGGACGCAAAGCCACGGGACUGGGUCAAACCGCUUACCCCGACGGUUUACCGAGUAAGCCGAGCUGCCAAAG